UGCCUUCCCUGUUCGCUCCCCUUCCCUCGCCCGACCUCCCCAGUCUUCGCAACCGCCCGGCCCCAUCGCCCUCACCAAUCUCCCAUCCCUCCGAUGACGUCGGCGCACGAUGCCGGACCCCACGCCCCGCCGCUUCGAUGACUCACCGGCCUCGACGCGCUCCACACCACCGUCUCGACACGCCCCGCCGACCUCCGCGUGCCAUGCCUCCCUCCCCAAUCCGUUCACCCCAAUGACGGCCGUGGACUCUAGAGGCCAUCACCGCCGACAAGCCCUCCACCCGCCGCCUGCGCCUGUGCCGUGCCCCUUUGCACAGGCGUUUCUCCACUUGGAUCUUCCCAUUCCUCCUCCUCGUGAGCCUCGCCUUCCUCCUCUACCUAUCCGCCCCCGCUGCACGCGUCGCUGACCUCGGAUCCGACUCGUGCUCCGGUAGAAACUGCACCCCCGCGACCUGAAUCAAGUGGUUCCGGCGGCACCUUCCUCUUCUGCGAUUUUCGCUUCUCCCUAUGCGUUCUGCUCCCGCGAUUUGACCGGCUUGGGUUCCGCUUCCUCCGAUUCCUCCCGAGUCCGCUGGUGAUCUGGAGGGCAGAGGAGAAUGAGAUUUCCAAUAGGAUUCAAAUACAUUUUCGAUACGAUUAUCUGGUGUUGGAAUUUGAAUAUGGUGAAAUCAUUUUUUUAUUGGAAUAGCAUUCCCAUCUGAAACUCCAAAUUUAUCUUCUUUGGGCAGUUUGGAGCCCCUUGAACUUCUUGCAGAUCUGGGCUUGGUGUUGCCAAUUAGCCUGUGGCUGUGCUGUGUGUGUCUCUCUCCAUGAGACAGGGUAUUGAUUUAUAGAUGCAAAAUCCAAGUGAAUCUUGUUAGUUUCCGAAUGAACUGCAGGUUUGGUUGGCAUCGAUGGGGAAUCGAGGUACGCAUCGUGACACAUCUCCUAAUUUUAGUUACCUUGCCGAUUAAUUUGAAAUCGUGGCCUGUGCAACAUGUGAAUCUUGUUAGUUUUGGAGCUGCGGCAUAACUUGUAGCCUCAUGCCGUUCGGCGGCUGCGCCGACGUACACGUUCGAUGUUGCUGAGGUUGCAGUAGCAGCGCCGUUGUCUACGCCUGAUGCUGCCCUACUCGCUGGAUCUCCCACAUCCACUCCCGUUUCGUCAGUAUUUGCAUACAUGGAGCUAGAUCAAAUGCGCGUACCGCAACGUGCAACGACGCUCCUACAUAUCCUGGAUAAAGGGCAGCAGUGUUAGUCGAGGGUCGACGUGGUGGGUCGUCGACAAGGAGACGUGUGUGAGUCCACGCAGUGUACCAUUGCAGACACUGUUGGUCUUGUGCUCAUUGUAAGGCGCAGUAUACUCGAUCACGUCCAUAAGAGCCUGGCCGCACUGCUGCACUCAGGGUUGCAUCCUAUUGGUCAGGUCAACUAGGCUUUUUUGUGGCCCCUUCGUCGACAACCUAAAAUUGAGUUUGAAUUAGAGAAAUGGAAAACACAUAAUACAACAAGGAAGCUCACGAAUUCACAAAAGCAGGAACACGGUCUCCCAGCGGGACUGGGAACUCCUGGCGCUAGUUGAAAUGGCGCAUCACUCAGUGGACAGCGUAGGCCUCAAUGAAGAUGUCAAAAAGCAGCUUCUUCCUCGUCAUCCAAAAUGGUGAGUCCUUUUAGCACAGUGCGGAGAUCCCACGGCCUACGGAUCGUCGAAGAACCAAGUCGGGGGUGUAUGGCUCCCAAAUGACCAUAUCUGGCCUCAGGUGGUUGAACUGCUAUGUAAAAGCCUCGUAUGCAGCACAAACAUGCACUCCUACCCACUGCGGCUGCAAAAUUAUAGUUCAUUUAAAUUAGAAGUCACUUUUACACAUACGAAAUUUACAGUUAAUUUAAAUUUCGUA